GAUGGAUCCGAGGUGCAAAAUCCUUAUAGUUAUGGGAAAAACAGAUGUUACCGCUCCUCUGCAUAAGCAACAGUCCAUGAUCUUAGUUGACAUCCAGACUCCAGGUGUAAUUGUUAAAAGACCACUCACAGUGUUUGGCUUUGAUGACGCACCUCAUGGCCAUGCUGAGAUAAUAUUUGACAAUGUGCGUGUUCCUGCAACGAAUAUUUUACUUGGAGAGGGUCGUGGAUUUGAAAUUGC
rnacentral:misc_RNA from 1 species